rnacentral:lncRNA from 10 species
AGUGUUGCUAAACUUUCUACCACCAAUAUAACAAAAAUCUUUUUUCUGCAGUUUCAAAUAAAAUUUUCUUUACUUUUCUUCAAACUCUCACUCACAACCUCCUCAAAGAUCAUUAAGAUGUCAUGAAACACUCUUCAAGCCUCUUCAAGCUUUCACUAAUACUUUUCUCAAAGUCUUUCCAGCUUAUUUCCACAGCCUAGUUCCAAUGUCUCUCCCACCUUUUAGGUUUUUGUUAUGGUGGUACUCUUCUGAGUAUUGUCAAAUCCUGA